rnacentral:rRNA from 1 species
GGGUCGUGCGGCGUGCUAAUACAUGCAAGUCGAGCGAAUGGAUUAAGAGCUUGCUCUUAUGAAGUUAGCGGCGGACGGGUGAGUAACACGUGGGUAACCUGCCCAUAAGACUGGGAUAACUCCGGGAAACCGGGGCUAAUACCGGAUAACAUUUUGAACCGCAUGGUUCGAAAUUGAAAGGCGGCUUCGGCUGUCACUUAUGGAUGGACCCGCGUCGCAUUAGCUAGUUGGUGAGGUAACGGCUCACCAAGGCAACGAUGCGUAGCCGACCUGAGAGGGUGAUCGGCCACACUGGGACUGAGACACGGCCCAGACUCCUACGGGAGGCAGCAGUAGGGAAUCUUCCGCAAUGGACGAAAGUCUGACGGAGCAACGCCGCGUGAGUGAUGAAGGCUUUCGGGUCGUAAAACUCUGUUGUUAGGGAAGAACAAGUGCUAGUUGAAUAAGCUGGCACCUUGACGGUACCUAACCAGAAAGCCACGGCUAACUACGUGCCAGCAGCCGCGGUAAUACGUAGGUGGCAAGCGUUAUCCGGAAUUAUUGGGCGUAAAGCGCGCGCAGGUGGUUUCUUAAGUCUGAUGUGAAAGCCCACGGCUCAACCGUGGAGGGUCAUUGGAAACUGGGAGACUUGAGUGCAGAAGAGGAAAGUGGAAUUCCAUGUGUAGCGGUGAAAUGCGUAGAGAUAUGGAGGAACACCAGUGGCGAAGGCGACUUUCUGGUCUGUAACUGACACUGAGGCGCGAAAGCGUGGGGAGCAAACAGGAUUAGAACCUG